CAUUCAAAGAACCCGUGUUUAGUAACGUCAGCUAAUUCACCUAGCAGAUUGUUACAGAUGGUGGCCCGUACGGGGAAUGAUAUUGCAGUGUUUUUUUGCAUUAUUGUAUUGAUUGUUGACUUGUUUAUUGAAGGCUGGUUUUGGGGUGUUCUCGAUAAGGAUUGUUUAGAGACGUAGAGUAGGUAGCACAAAUGUACUGCACAGGUUUUACUGCAAAACAAUUGGUUAGUCAGUGAAGCGUACACACACAAAAAAAAAAAAAAAAAAACAUGGAUGAUCUGAGAGGUGCCUCACUGGAUGAGCUGGAGGAAUACCCUGAGAAUGAAACUUUUGAGCCGGGCACACGGGCUUCUACACCUACGUCAGGGCCUGGGCAUAGUGAUCAGCACCAUGAAGAAAGGGGAGACACCUGGGUCACUAGGCGGAAUCCUGUUGGUGAAAUAACUUCCCUACUUAGUUCGUUAUGGCUUGCAGACGUGGAUGAAAGUGACCAGAGCAUUGGUGGAGAGGAGGGUAGCACAUCUUACCUCAACUUUCCGGCUCUCACAUCCAUUACCACUGAUUUAGGGUCAGUCGUGGAGAGACUGAAUAUCCUUGAGAGCGAUUUCAGGGAUUCCCUUAAUAGUGCAUUAAAUCGAGAGGCCAGCAUAAGGAACUAUGUGGACCGCAGCAUUGGGAUGAUGGAGGAAAACAUGAUCUCCACCUUUAAACAGUUUGAAGAAAAAUUAGUGGAGUGCCUACAGAGACGGGAUGAUAAAUGGAAAGCAGAAUUUGAACGGCUGAAGCGCGCCAGCCUGGUUGCUGUCCAUAGGCCCGUGUCACAUGCUGAGGCGACUGUCCAUCUACCUCCUAGUCGCUCCGCUCUUACUCCAAUUGGACCUAGAGCUCCAUUAGCACACACAACAGCUGCCAGUACAUUCACCCAAACAUCUGAUCCUCUUAACAUCGAGGGAAUAAGUCCACGCAGAGUAGCUCCACUUCAGUUGUCCAGCCUGGCCACUCCUGAGAUGAAGGCGAG
rnacentral:lncRNA from 1 species